GUGUCCAGUCGGAAUCUCCCCAAGAGCAACUUGUGUCCAUUCCCCCUUGCCCUCUCCACGUGACUCCUUGUGAAAAGUACCCUGUGUUGAUUUGUUCUUUACGUUGUGAAAUGGAUUGCUGUUUAGUGCCAAGUGACGCCACGGUUUUAGCUUUAGAAAAGGAUGAAGGGAGAAAGCCUAAGAGGUGAUGUUCGGCAUGUAGUAUUGGGAAGCGUCGCUUUAAGUACAGGAGGUCAGAGGAGGAGGACGUAGAAUUAUUGGUGGCCCCAGAGCAAAGAAGACCGGAGUCGCCAUGGCAAGAAAGGGGUAGGAGAAAGCGGGAGGAUGAGUCAAGUUCAGAGGAAAAAGGAGAUUUUAGCCCCCAUUAUGGGGAGAACUAGAAGGGGAACGGGACACGGUGAUGCAGAAAGGGGGGAGGCACUGCAAGCCCCUCUCCGGCAAGCAAUUGGGAAUCACGGGCGGGUCACCAUUAAGGUUCUGUUUUCAGUAACGGAUUUAAGGUCCUGGAAGGAGUUGGCAGGGACAUCUAAGGAGGACCUGGAAAAGGUAACAAAAAUAUUUGCAGGUAGUGUAUUUUGGUUGUUAGGUUGGUAUGGGUGCAGGUUAAGCUUUGUACUUUUGCAAUAACGUGCUUUUGGUAUUGGUACAUUUAUGUAACCUGCAUAAGUUUUGUACUUUUGGCAAUACCAAUUUAUUGAUACUGAACUCGGAUACUGGCUUGUUGACAUUGAAUUUGGAUAUACCCGUCAGGCAUUGUAAAAUUGAUAAUUAACUAUGAAUGAGCCAGUCUGGUGUGACUGGUGAAUGAAUGAGUAACUGAGACAGGAUACGACUGUUAAGUGAGUAUGGGUAGCGUUUGGAUGGGAUCUUCACUGUGAAAAUUGUGGAACAUGGUCAGAGUGGGAAAAUAAAGGGCGACAAGUCGAGGUUAUUAAGACAGUCUGUGGGAGAAUUAAUGAAGAUACAGAAUCAAUAAGGAAGGAUGGGGGGACAGCAAAGUGGUGGUAUUGUAAAGAAAAGCCCCCUAGGAUGUGUCCUAGCACACUGGAAAGAUACAGGGGGACAACCAGGUGGGAAUGUGAAUAAGAAAACACUAAUCAAAUAUUGUAACCAGUGGUGGCCUCUGUACAAACAAGAAGAUGGUGAGAAAUGGCCCUUUAAUGGAUCUUUGGAUUAUAACUGUGUUACAGUUAAUGUUGUUCUUGCGGAGAGAAGGAAAAUGGGAUGAGGUUACGUAGGCAGAUGUUUUUCACUUUGCAGAAUCAUCCAGAGUGGCAGAGAGAUUGCGGUAUUAAUAUUCCACCACAAGAUCCCCUGAUUUUAUCUUUAGAAAAAGAAAAGAGAAGUGAAAAGAAGGAGCAGGAAAAAAUAAGGAGAUGCUGUUCGGCAUGUAGUAUUGGGCAGAGGUGUUUGAAAACGGUAAACCCUAAAAAGAAGCACGAACUCGGAGGAUUCAACCAAACUCCAAGGAUAAGGGUCCUUAGAUGUUCAAGUGCACCCCUGGCAUCCAUGGGUCUAUGUCUGGACGUGGAGUGAUGAACCUCUCAAGGAGAGGUGGAAAGGACCCUUCCAAGUUCUACUGACUAUACAUACGGUGGUGAAGGUUGACGGGAUAACCUUAUGGGUACAUUUUACCCAAAUAAACCAGCCCCAGUGCCGGAGGAACCCCAGUGGAAAGUACAGCCGAUGGGAGAUCUACAGAUAAGACUGAUGAGAAAAUGAUAAUAUUUUUUAUGUUGUGUGCCUUGGGGUGGGCUACGUCAGGAGGAGGAGCCAUAAUGGUGGGGGUCGCACACCAGAACACAUCCGAGGAUUUGAAAAUAAGCUUUGCAAAAACAGUGAACGUGACUGAUUGUUGGGUGUGUUCAUAAAUAAUGACUGGAGGAUCAGGAUUCCCCUGGAGAGUAAUCCCCUCAGGUUGGGCAGAAUUAUGUGUCAAAUGGACUGGUAAUGGACAAAGGUGUAACCCACGCCUCCCUGAGGAUAGAUAUUGUGCUCAAGAAAGUAAAAAGAGCAUUAUAAAGUCUUGGGAGUCUCAAAGUGGGGAAUUGUUACAAGAUUGUUCCAAGGCGACCUUCGGACUGAGCAAAAUGUUUGCUGCGCAAAACCCACAUCUUGCAAAAAGUGCUAAAACCAGUUGAAACCGGAUAAGGAGGCCAAGCGUUACAACAGACAAGACGAUGAGCCAACUCGUGACCAUGUAAGGGAAAGGAAUCCAGAGUUCAAGGAAAAUUCAAGGAGAGUUCUUCUCUUAGGAACCACCAGGGACCACCGGAGACCCUCUAAGGGACUCGAGCUGCGGGCACAAUUACUGUGCAACUGUUAUAAUCUGGGUUCUGGGAAAUGUAAUGUAUAUGUAUCGUUUUUCCAAGAAAAGUGAUGCAUAUGUAUAUGUGAGACUGAUAUAAGCAGAAGGUGUUACAAUAUACGGUGGGCAUGCUAGGCGGAGAGAUUCCCCCGUGCAGCCGGCGCCGAAUAAAGUAACGCCUGCUUGUUGACAUGCCCAAGCGUUAAGGAGUUUUAUUCCCGAUUUUCGGUGACAGCGGCAGGGGCCUAAUGGGGAGCGGGCAAAGCACGUGCUUGACUUUUAAGUCCUACUGAAAUUCCAAAACGGGGAGCUUCCACGCUGCCAGGGUGGCUGUGCUCUCCUGCACGGCCACCUCCCGCUCUGAGAAGGAAGAAGGGGCCGGAGGGAGGCACCCCUUGGGUUGAAGCAGGCUGGGACGGCUUCCGUGCUCCACUGCCCAAUUCAAAUUCAGAUUUUUAUCCCGCGGUGCUAGACGUGGCAGGGAUCGGCAGAGGCCGUGCCUCCUCCAAGGCUGCGAUGAUUGCUGCCGCACGACUUGGUUAAGGGAGAGUUUGCUGUGAGGUGGGCUACCCAGGGAGCGCAAGGGCGAUCGAAAAUGGAGCGCACGUACCCUGACAUAGCAGACACAGCACAGUAUUAAUUAACAUAAACAUUAAGAGUAAUAAUUAACGUAUUUGCUUACAGUCUGGUACUCGAUUCUUUUCACGGUCAGCCCUAAAUUGCGACUCACCCAUGAACGUUUCUACCUACUGCAGCACACCCAGCUCUUCAUUUGACCUCCUGCAAGCUUUGCCUUGCUUUACUGUCUCCUCUAUACCGGAAUGUAAUAUUAACGUGGAGUGAUAAUGAUACAAUAACUCUGGUUAUUAUAUUGCUGCGGUCGGGAGUGCUGGGUACGCUCCAGUUCCAAGUGCCUGGCCCAGGCAGCGAGAACCCAGAUUUUAGGAGAUCACUGGUAGGAAACUUUCCAGGAAUUUUUAAGCAGAAUAAGGAACUAAAGAGGUUUCUAGGUAUCGAUCCGAGAUGGCAGGUCCUCUCCCCGGAGUCAGCGAAGGACCAGCAAAACCUCGCACCUACGGCUGUCGCAGCCUGAACCGGGACCGUCCUCGGAUCAACCCGGCGUGGUUUAUUGGAAGAGCGAGCUCUCGGGAAGAGAGGCGCGGAUUUCCCUGCAAAGGUGUGGCAGGGACCGAGCUUGCCGAAUUGCUCGCCAGGCAGCAGCGGGAGAUGUUCAGCAGACUCCCUGGCAGGGAAAAUUGGAAAGCCUUGCCAAGACAAAACUAAUGAAGGCAGGAGCCUGCGGUGCUACGCUGUGAUCGGGAUGUUGGCUGCAAGCUUGGCGGAGAGCACGCCUGCCCGGGCCCGCAGCAUUUCCUCUGCCAUGCAAAAACCGAUGGGGUGCUUGAAAGAGACCUUGGGAAGAACAGUUGCAUUGGCCAUCCCCGGUAGCCAGCUAGACCAGAACCAGUUUAUGGGCAACGCUGGUGAAAGCAGCAUAAAACGCCACCAAAAAAAAUGCUGGCUUUGUAACAAUAAACCACUCGUUGGGUACACUUGCUUUCUUAUUUUUGUGAUUUUUUUUCCACUGAAACUGGGUUUUAAAAGACCCCCAAAGGGUAUGAUACAAAACGCAAGGGGACCUAAAUCAGAAAUAU